GAGGCCGAGGCCCGAGAGAAGGAGACCAAGGUGCUGUCGCUGGCCCGGGCCCUGAAGGAAGCCAUGGAGCAGAAAGUAGAGCCGGAGCGGCUCAACAAGCAGUUCCGCUUGGAGAUGGACUCAUGAGCUCCAAGGGCAAGAGCAUCCAUGAGCUGAAGUCCAGGCGGCUUCUGGAGCAGCAGGUGGAGGAGUUGAAGACCCAGCUGGAGGAGCUGGAGGAUGAGCUGCAGGACACUGAAAAAACGCCAAUCUGCAGCUGGAGGUCAACCUGCAGGCCAUGAAGAAUCCAGUUCGAGCGGGACCUGCAGGGCCGGGACGAGCAGAGUGAGGAGAAGCAGCAGCAGCUGGUCAGACAGGUGCAGGAGAUGGAGGCAGAGCUGGAGGACGAGAGG